rnacentral:rRNA from 1 species
UACGUAGGGGGCAAGCGUUGUCCGGAUUUACUGGGCGUAAAGAGCGUGUAGGCGGCCAAGCAGGUCUGUUGUGAAAACUGGAGGCUCAACCUCCAGACGUCGACAGAAACCGCUCGGCUAGAGUCCGGAAGAGGAGAGUGGAAUUCCUGGUGUAGCGGUGAAAUGCGCAGAUAUCAGGAAGAACACCAAUGGCGAAGGCAGCUCUCUGGGACGGUACUGACGCUGAGACGCGAAAGCGUGGGGAGCGAACAGG